AGGGAAUCUCAGGAUACAAGGAAAACACCAAGAAGUCCCCAUGAGUCCCUACAGCCACAAUAAAUUGAAUUCUGCCAAAAAUCUUAAUAAGCUUGGAAGAAGACCUUCAGCUCCUGAUGAGAACCCAGCCAGAAACAAGAUGAGAACCCAGAAACAAGAUUUUCAUCUUAUUUCAACCUGAGCAGAGACCACAGAGGAGCCCUGGCCAGAUUUUUGGUCUACAGGAUUGAGAAGACACCUGCCUGAGGGUCUUAUAGCUAAUGGACUGCAGAAGACUUGAGUCAUCAUUCAAAUUCAGUAGCCAUCCUCUGAUGUCCAGUUGAAGAUUGGUGAUUCCAGAAUAGCUCGCAUUGUCCCAGUUGACUUGCCACACAGCUUCUUUCAGGACUUGAAAAUGUCCUAGCCACCCCCAUCUUACCUCCUACCUCCAAUGCCUUUUAAGAUAGAAAACAAAAAACAAAACAAAAAAAACACCAGCCACCCUUGUGGGUUAGAUAAUCCUACAUCAAGGUGAAUUCUUGAUAACCAGUUCUGUUCUUCCUUAUGUCUUGUAAACAUGCUAAUUAGAAGGAGCUUGUGUUUGAAGAUCAAGGGAGGAAGAAUUCUGAAGCCAGGGCUAGCCUUAGGGGACAUAACUCCUUCCAGUCACUUCCUGAAUUUUUUGGUACCUGGCUUUUGAGAGUCCCCCAAAAGUGAGUAUUUCAUGACAUGUAACCUCUCAACAUCUGCAUUUUAAAAAAUUGUCCAAAAUACCACAGAUACCACGGAAAAGUCCAAAACUUAAGUUUUUCCCUCCACUCAGAGCAUCUUAACAAUAUACUAACCAUAAGACUCUAAGUGCUCUUACCCUCAAUGCAAUUCUCACUGAAUAUCCUGUCAGGAGAACUCUACCUCUCUUCCAUGUUAUUAAGGUUUUUGUUCUUUGCAAGGUGUACACAACACAAAUAUAUUUCUUGGUGAAUGAACUCACUCUCAAAGACUGCUGUCCUUGGGGAUAUAGCCAACAUGCCAUAUCCACAACAUAGGUCUUCUUUACAGUCCUGUUGAAACAUGUAAGAUCAGCUACUAAGUCCCUGCAUCUCAGACAGGAACUUAAUAGAGUACAUUUAAAAAAAAAUUCAGAAGUAAUUAAAACAAAUUGCAUACAAGCCACCUGUUUAGAAAGUUCAUAAAUUUUAUGCAAUUAUUUAUCUCUUUAUUUUUUCUUAAAUCAAGAGCAGAAUGUAUCCAAGUGAAACUAAAAGAGCAAGGUCAAGGGGAAACAACACAGGGCUUGUGGAGUCAUAAAUAUGUAUUAAAACAGCAGAGUUAAUUUUGUCCCAAGUUCCAUAUUGACCAGGAAAAAAGAAACAAGAUCAGCAGAGUUAACAGCUCUCAACCUGAAUAUGCCUCAGAAUUUCUAGGAGGACUUAAGUAAUGAGAUUCCUGGGUUUCUACAUGGACCAACUCAAUCAAACUCUUCAGGAGACAGCUGCUGUUGUUAGACUGUGUCUCCCAAAAUUCUUGUGUUGGAAACUUAGUUCCCAAUGUAACGAUAUUGGCAGGUGGGGCCUAGUGGGGGGUGUUUAGAUCAUGAGGGCUUCAGCCUCAUGAAUGGAUUAAUGUUGAUAUCUCAGGAGUGAGUUUCCUCUUGCUCUCUGUAGCCCUCUCUCUUGCCACAUGAUGACUUCCACCAGGUUAUGACUCAACAGGAAAGCCCUCACAAGAUGUGGAACCUCAAUCUUAGACUUCCCAGCCUCCAGAAGUGAGCCAAAUAAAUUUCUGUUCAUGAU
rnacentral:lncRNA from 1 species